AAUUAGAUUAGAUUAGCAAAUUAGAUUCGUCUGGAUGUGAAUGGCUACGUCGAUAUUGUAUUGUGUAUUAAGAAGAAGCUUUUCAUUUUUUACYGAAAGGCCAUAAGACAAGGAUCAUUCUUCGACUCUGCCGAACAAGAUUACCUUCCCCUGAAGCAAUGGUUUAUCAACAUUCUAUCUGUCUGAUUGUUGUGGCUUUCUUGAUUGGAUCAUCAAUAGCUCUUACUCCUAGAGAUCUUCCUCCGAAGGGUGAUGCUAAGAAGCUCGAGAAAAGGCUUGGUUGCAGCUGUGAUGGACAUGCUGGUACCUACUGGUGGAAUAAAUUGUCUUGUCCAAGCAGUUAUAAGUAUUACGGGACUUGUGCGAAAUUCAAUGGCGUCUGUUGCUGGUACAAGUCUUAACAGGCCAACACACUAAAAUGCCAGUAUUUAAAAAGCAAAUAAAGAUAAAGCUAUAAAUUGUAAAAGUAAUAUAUUAAAAUGAAAAAAAUAUUGUGGUAUCGUGGUAUGGAUAUAACUGUGCAUUGCUUUAAAAAUAAACAGAUAAAGAUCAGCAUGAACAACAAG